GAUGAACGCUGGCGGCGUGCCUAAUACAUGCAAGUCGAGCGAACGGACGAGAAGCUUACUUUUCUGAUGUUAGCGGCGGACGGGCGAGUAACACGUGGAUAACCUACCUAUAAGACUGGGAUAACUUCGGGAAACCGGAGCUAAUACCGGAUAAUAUUUUGAACCGCAUGGUUCAAAAGUGAAAGACGGUCUUGCUGUCACUUAUAGAUGGAUCCGCGCUGCAUUAGCUAGUUGGUAAGGUAACGGCUUACCAAGGCAACGAUGCAUAGCCGACCUGAGAGGGUGAUCGGCCACACUGGAACUGAGACACGGUCCAGACUCCUACGGGAGGCAGCAGUAGGGAAUCUUCCGCAAUGGGCGAAAGCCUGACGGAGCAACGCCGCGUGAGUGAUGAAGGUCUUCGGAUCGUAAAACUCUGUUAUUAGGGAAGAACAUAUGUGUAAGUAACUGUGCACAUCUUGACGGUACCUAAUCAGAAAGCCACGGCUAACUACGUG
rnacentral:rRNA from 1 species